rnacentral:tRNA from 2 species
UUAGCUCAGUUGGUCAGAGCGAGCGACUCAUAAUCGCCAGGUCGCUGGUUCAAGUCCA